rnacentral:lncRNA from 1 species
CUCGUCGUUAUCAAGAUACAAAGAAAAGGAUACAAAUGAUAAUUAUUCUUUGCUGAAUUGCAAAAGAUACAUUUCAGAGCCUUAAACCAAGAAGCUAAAGAGUCGGGUACAAAAGAAAAAGCAAGUGUCAAAGCUCACCUUUCACACGAACCACAACAAGAAGAAAAGCAAAACUGAAGAAGUUCCAACAUAAAACCUCUUAAGAUGACUUCGAAUCCAAAGACGAGGGCCAAACACCAAUCUUUAAAGACCCCACACCCAGAGAAACAAGCCUAGACCGUCCAAUGAAAAAAAAAACACAAAAGAGAAAGUCAUGGACAGAGAGGUAGAAGGAGUAGGAGAUAAC